AGGACGAACGCUGGCGGCACGCUUAACACAUGCAAGUCGAACGAACAGAGGAAGCUUGCUUCCGAAGUUAGUGGCGGACGGGUGAGUAACACGUGAGCAAUCUGCCUUUAAGUGGGGAAUAACGUUUGGAAACGGACGGUAAUACCGCAUAAUAUACACGAACCGCAUGAUUUGUGUAUCAAAGAUUUAUCGCUUAAAGAUGAGCUCGCGUCUGAUUAGAUAGUUGGUGAGGUAACGGCCCACCAAGUCGACGAUCAGUAGCCGGACUGAGAGGUUGAACGGCCACAUUGGGACUGAGACACGGCCCAGACUCCUACGGGAGGCAGCAGUGGGGGAUAUUGCACAAUGGGGGAAACCCUGAUGCAGCGACGCCGCGUGGGUGAAGAAGUUAUUCGUAAUGUAAAGCCCUAUCAGCAGGGAAGAUAAUGACGGUACCUGACUAAGAAGCCCCGGCUAACUACGUGCCAGCCGCUGC
rnacentral:rRNA from 1 species